rnacentral:snRNA from 1 species
GGAUGUGAGGGCGGUCUGGCUGUGACAUCUGUCACCCCACUGAUCGCCAGGGUUGAUGCAGCUGAUCUCUCUGGCUAGUCUGGUAUCUUCCUCUUCCCUCACCAUGCCAUGUGUGUCCCUCUAGAAGCUACACACCGAAUAGAGGAGAGCUGGUCUUUGGUCAAGGGUAUUGGAUAAGCUAUGCUUCCCUGCUAAAACUUCCACACACUCUCUCAAGUCCAACAUAUUCAACAAGAAUCUGGACCUUCCUUCCCUCUGCUGAGAGCUUGACUGGUUUAUAUCAAAUGUAAACCGGUUCC